GAUGAACGCUGGCGGCGUGCCUAAUACAUGCAAGUCGAGCGCGAGAAUGAGGAGCUUGCUCCUCAUAAUCGAGCGGCGGACGGGUGAGUAACACGUAGGCAACCUACCCUUGAGAUUGGGAUAACUACCGGAAACGGUAGCUAAUACCGGAUACGGCUUUUCCACACAAGUGGAAUUGUUAAAAGGCGGAUUUAUCUGCCGCUCAUGGAUGGGCCUGCGGUGCAUUCGCUAGUUGGUGAGGUAGUGGCACACCAAGGCGACGAUGCAUAGCCGACCUGAGAGAGUGAUCGGCCACACUGGGACUGAGACACGGCCCAGACUCCUACGGGAGGCAGCAGUAGGGAAUCUUCCGCAAUGGACGCAAGUCUGACGGAGCAACGCCGCGUGAGUGAUGAAGGGUUUCGGCUCGUAAAACUCUGUUGUUAAGGAAGAACACUUGAGGUAGUAACUGGCCUUGAGAUGACGGUACUUAACCAGAAAGCCACGGCUAACUACGUGCCAGCAGCCGCAGUAA
rnacentral:rRNA from 1 species